rnacentral:rRNA from 1 species
UACGGAGGGUGCAAGCGUUGUCCGGAAUCACUGGGCGUAAAGGGCGCGUAGGCGGCUCAUGAAGGCUGUGGUGAAAGUCCGGGGCUCAACCUCGGAUCGGCCGUGGCGACUCGUGGGCUGGAGCACUGUAGAGGCGGGUGGAACUCCGGGUGUAGCGGUGGAAUGCGUAGAGAUCCGGAAGAACACCAGUGGCGAAGGCGGCCCGCUGGGCAGUGGCUGACGCUGAGGCGCGACAGCGUGGGGAGCAAACAGG